CUGCUCCCAUUCAUUGCUGCUUGGCAUCAGCUGUGGCAAUGCCUUUGUAAAGCAAGAUCCUGGGGACAUAUCCUGCAAGAGGUGCUCCAUGGGGGUGGUGCUGGCAUAGGAUGGCCCUAAUGUGUGUGCUGCAAGGGUAUCUCCUCAAGGAUGGCCCUGUGCUGUGCAGAACCAUUAGAAGCAAUAAACGCAUUUAAGAGAAACAACUGCAUGGAAGGAAGCAGUAAUUUCCAUAAAGCAGCGUCAGAUGGGCCCUGCUGCAAGCACAGCAAUGGGCAGAGCCAGGACCAGACCCACCGUGGGGUAAAGCAGCUCAACAACACAGAUACUGGGACUUCCACCCCACGCACUGUUCUGAGGCCACUGUGUACUGAUGAGCAUUGCUUUAUGAAGUGCUGUUGCAUAUUUUUGUUUAGGAGAAGAUUCUCUUUCAAAAGCAGCUACAACAGCUCUGCCCAUUCAGCCUUCCUGAAGGCCUCUCACUGCAGACAGAAGUGGUGACUCCUGUACUUAUUUUCUAUUGCUGCCUUAUCUUUGGCAUCUCAGCUGUGACUUUUACUGUUUUUUUCCACUGGUUUCAUCAGAGUGCAGUAAAAGUGGAUGUUUGUUGGGCUUCAGCUCUGCUAAUGAUUCUUGAUCUGCGUGGUGCAGACGAGGAGAGCCCAGCCUUGAUGAGAAAAUGGCAAGCUAAGUAGGCUAACAAAACAGCAGCAGCAAGAAACUGGAUCAGCUCCGCUCGGUGAAGUUUUCCUGCUUCAACAGGGGGGAAAAAAAAAAAAA